AACGAACGCUGGCGGCAGGCCUAACACAUGCAAGUCGAGCGAAGCCUUCGGGCUUAGCGGCGGACGGGUAAGUAACGCGUGGGAACGUGCCCUUUGGUACGGAAUAGCCCCGGGAAACUGGGAGUAAUACCGUAUGUGGUCGAGAGACGAAAGAUUUAUCGCCAAAGGAUCGGCCCGCGUUGGAUUUGGUAGUGGGGGGGGUAAUGGCCUACCAAGCCGACGAUCCAUAGCUGGUUUGCGAGGAUGAUCAGCCGCACUGGGACUGAGACACGGCCCAGACUCCUACGGGAGGCAGCAGUGGGGAAUCUUAGACAAUGGGGGAAACCCUGAUCUAGCCAUGCCGCGUGAUCGAUGAAGGCCUUAGGGUUGUAAAGAUCUUUCAGUGGGGAAGAUAAUGACUGUACCCACAGAAGAAGCCCCGGCUAACUCCGUGCCAGCAGCCGCGGUAAAAC
rnacentral:rRNA from 1 species